UAGGGAAUCUUCCACAAUGGGCGAAAGCCUGAUGGAGCAACGCCGCGUGAGUGAUGAAGGUUUUCGGAUCGUAAAACUCUGUUGUUAGGGAAGAACACCCGGGAGAGGAUCCCGGUUUGACGGUACCUAACGAGGAAGCCCCGGCUAACUACGUGCCAGCAGCCGCGGUAAUACGUAGGGGGCAAGCGUUGUCCGGAAUUAUUGGGCGUAAAGCGCGCGCAGGCGGUUUAUUAAGUCUGAUGUGAAAGCCCACGGCUCAACCGUGGAGGGCCAUUGGAAACUGGUAGGCUUGAGUGCAGGAGAGGAGAGCGGAAUUCCCGGUGUAGCGGCGAAAUGCGUAGAUAUCGGGAGGAACACCCGUGGCGAAGGCGGCUCUCUGGCCUGUAACUGACGCUGAGGCGCGAAAGCGUGGGGAGCAAACAGGAUUAGAUACCCUGGUAGUCCACGCCGUAAACGAUGAGUGCUAAGUGUCGGGGGUGACCAACCCUCGGUGCUGUCGCUAACGCAAUAAGCACUCCGCCUGGGGAGUACGGCCGC
rnacentral:rRNA from 1 species